UAUCACCUUGAGAGACCGGUUCCGGUGCGAUCACAGAAGUUAAGCAAAGUCGAUCCGGGUCAGUACCUAGAUGAGUAACCGGUUGGGAGUACCAGAUGCUGUAAG